UACGUAGGGUGCGAGCGUUAAUCGGAAUUACUGGGCGUAAAGCGUGCGCAGGCGGUGAUGUAAGACCGAUGUGAAAUCCCCGGGCUUAACCUGGGAACUGCAUUGGUGACUGCAUUGCUGGAGUAUGGCAGAGGGGGGUUGAAUUCCACGUGUAGCAGUGAAAUGCGUAGAGAUGUGGAGGAACACCGAUGGCGAAGGCAGCCCCCUGGGCCAAUACUGACGCUCAUGCACGAAAGCGUGGGGAGCAAACAGG
rnacentral:rRNA from 1 species